CACGCACCUCGUUCGGUGAGGCGUCGUCACGGACACAGGCCACUGAUCCCACCCGUCGAGAGACGCUCCGGAUCAGGACAGGUCUCCCCGGCCCAAGGGGUGACUCCAAGUGGCUGCCCCACCCGGGGCUACGCCGUGACGUGCCAAAGCUCUGACGAGUGGGGGUGAGCC
rfam:Streptomyces albulus strain NK660, complete genome.